GAUGAAGAACGUAGCAAAAUGCGAUACUUGGUGUGAAUUGCAGAAUCCCGUGAACCAUCGAGUUUUUGAACGCAAGUUGCGCCCGAAGCCUUUUGGCCGAGGGCACGUCUGCCUGGGCGUCACGCAUCGCGUCGCCCCCCACAAUUCUCCGUAAAGGGAACAUGUGUUUUGGGGGCGGAUAUUGGUCUCCCGUGCUCAUGGCGUGGUUGGCCGAAAUAGGAGUCCUUUCGAUGGACGCACGAACUAGUGGUGGUCGUAAAAACCCUCGUCUUUUGUUUCGUGCUGUUGCUCGCAAGGUAAACUCUUUAAAAACCCCAAUGUGUCGUCUCUUGACGACGCUUCGACCGCGACCCCAGGUCAGGCGGGACUACCCGCUGAGUUUAAGCAUAUCAAUAACGGAGGA
rnacentral:misc_RNA from 1 species